CGUUUGAAUCCAAACAGGCUUCGUUCAGUAUUUAGUGUGUUUACCAGAGCCGGAUUUUAGUGCUACCAGCUGAGUGCUGCUUGCAGGGCAGAAUUUUUCCAAAAUUUUGACAGUAUGUGACGUUAAAUUGAAGGGAAUGGCUAGUCGUAGUGCUCCUAGACAUCGACCCAGCAGGGGAGGUGUUGCCGCUGCUGCAGAAGCAAGUUAUUUUCUGAUGGUAUUCAACGACAAGUUCCUCAGUACAGUGUUGGCCUCACUUAUUAUAGUGACGUUAGUCACCGCAUUGCUCUUUGGAAAGCUGAGUGGCUUUAUUGUGCUUAGUGCAUUCGCAGCCGGGGGACUAUACAUCGUCGACGCCAGAAAACGUCAUAAGCAAAUAAUAUCGUUGUGGCCGCGGAUUAUGCCGAAGGUGAAUCUUGCGGUUAGCGGGCGCUUCGAAUGCCGACGAUGUAAGGUCUCCGAUUGCGAAAUACACACGAAGCUUUACAAUAUAUGCCCAUGGCGUGGACUUAUAGUAUCGCAAGAGGUAGAUUCCGCUAUCGAAGAUAUUCUCAACAAAGUGUUGCAGGAAUACGUAUAUCCGUGGUACUCACAACUAAGUAGCGACGAAAUCUUCGUCCAGGAGUUACGAAUUAUUCUUCGGCAUGUUAUCUCCGCUCUGAUCAAGAGGGUGGAAAGAGUUAACCUAGUCCAGUUGAUCACGAGUAAGGUAAUCCACAUCAUCGCGCAGCAUCUGGAUGUCUACGUGCGAGCGCGUCGCCUUUACCCGGACGAUAAAGACAUCGAAAAACUUGUGCUAAGUUGUUUGGGACCUAGUAUGCAUGUUGUUCUUAAGAAUCGAGCUACAGAACAUCAGUACCUGCGGAAAGUCACCGAAAAGAUGCUCACCCAGCUGAUUCCUGGAAAAUAUUACCAUUCGCAGUGUGCGUUCGCGCUCAUCCGCGAAAUACUGUGCGGACCAGUCUUCCUAAAUGGCAUGGACGUCAUUGCGGACCCAGACAUCAUUAACUUGAUACUGCUUAUCUUUUUCGACAAAACACCAAUGCAAGUGUUUCCUAAAUCGAAGAAGUCUGUUGAGUUGUUGAGCCACUUUGUCAAUCAGAACGCGCCAACGGUUCGCUACUCGAAUCGUGAUGAUUUCGACUUACAGACAACGUUGAAAAAUAAAGAGCUAUAUUCGGGUUUUGCACAGCACCUCAAAGAUGAAGGUUGUCAACAUCUUCUAUGGUUUUAUGAGGCACUGGAGCAUUUCAAUUCAAAGUUGCUCCCGCCAGAUAUCAAUGCAGCUCAGAUUGAGCAUUUACACCAACUAGCCGCGAACAUAUAUCACCGGUUCAUCUCGGAGGAAGCAAUGGAUCGAGUACCGAUGGACGUUAAUAAGGCAGCUGAGUUUCUAUCGAUUAUUCAGCAGCCGAAAGAGAAUAUUCUGAAACUGCGGACAUCAACGGUUCUGUACGAGACGUAUGAAGAUGUCUAUCACUUGUUAGACAAAAUAUUGUUGCCACAGUUUAGACGGAGUGAGCGUUACUUCGCAGUUGCGUGUAAAGAACGGGAAUCUAAUGUUAGCAACCACUAUACAGUUGAGGUUCCUAAAAGCAUUUCUCAAGCUGUAAAGCCUAACGCCAGUGCGACGAAGGUUGGCAAUGCGACAUUUUGGGCCACUGUAGAGGGCGUUGAAAACCCCGAAGCAGAAGACGAGCCUACGCAAUUCGAACAGGCCGCCUUUAGCAUGCACGACGACCCUCGACUUAAAGACUUAAGUGCAUGGCGAGUAUCGAUUCCACGAGUAGCCGGCAACGAAAAUCGUGACGGCUGUUUUUUUGUGAUCGACAUCCAGAGGAUUGACGUUAAAGGAGACCAGCGGCCCGAGGAUCUUCAUUGGGUCGUCGGCAGAAAGUACACAGAGUUUUACGUGCUCGAAGCCAAGCUGGAGGAAUUCCAUGGGGAACUUCCAAUACAGCCGCUGCCAACGAAACGUUCUUUUGGUACAAGAAAGCGGAAAACUCUUGAAGAACACCUGAGCGCGUUUGAGCGGUAUAUUCAAGAGCUACUCACGUUGCCAGGACUUAGAGGCAGUCAACUCGUGUAUAACUUUCUUAAGAUGAAUAAUGAGUUCACGGGUAGUUUUUUGCCUGAUGUUAAACUGGGGAAGAUGAUCCGCAACGUACCUCGCAAGCUAGUCCGAGAGAAGGGUCAGCACCUCGAGGAAUUUCUGCAAACCUUCCUUGCGUCAACUGAACCAAUCAAACCGAAGUCGGCCAACGCUGCUUCGAAAGAAGGUACGCCUACAAAACAGCCUGACCAACCACUCAAAAGCAAUCCUCUCUUUGGGGACAAUGCUAAUAAUUACUCGUUCUGCCGGCGCAUGAUCGGAGCGCCUGAAAUUCCAGCUAGUCCGUGGCCCGUUUUCGAUUACCUCAUCUAUCUGACUAGCAGUGUCUUUAACACUGAAGUCUGGGUGACUACCCUACUCAAAGCUUUGGCGCCGUUGCUGAGGCAUACGACACAGGAUGCAGUUGAAAGCCUGCUUGACGAUGUCCUCACAAAGAAGGCAUUGGUACCUAAAAGAAUGGCAUUAUUAGUCAAACUUCUUCAGGAGACCAUAUUUGAAGACGAACCACGAGACGCUACCGCGGACGAACGGAAAGCGCGCUCCGAUGAGUUGCUCGUACUCCUGAGCCCAUCGCUUGGACCUCCUCCCGUCGAGCUCACCGCGGGCGACUCUCCAUCACACUUCCGAGUACCUCUUUCGCGACCUCGAUCAUUUGGCCAGCCAUCCCACCGCGUAUUAAAACAGAUGAAGGAGUUCCUACCAUCAGUAGUGGUCUCUAUAUUGAGCCGUAAAUGCCACGACCACGGAGCAGAAUUAAUCCACGACGUGAUACAGCACCCUCUGCUUAACAAGCAACUAUCCUAUGUACUUCUUGAUGCCCUCCUCCUCGAACUUUUUCCAGAGUUUUAAUAAUCAUAUUUCGGUUUAGUUGGACAAAGAAAAAACAGGGCAAACGAUGAAUCGACCGGCAAUUAUCACCAAAUCUGCGCAUCGCUUCAGGCAAUAUAUGGCGGCUGGGGCAACAGUUGCACAGAGAGAAUACAUAAUAUCAACAAAUGAAAACAUAAGGAAAGACCGUCAUCGUACGUGCUGGUAUUCUAGUUAUUCAGGUGUAACAGCGCGUACGAUCAUGAUGAUACCUAGGUGAACCAUGUUGUCGAUCAUCUUGCAAUUACUACUAUUGAACGUGCGAGUUACAACUAUUAUUAUUAUUAUCACUGCUGUAAUUAUAACUACUGUUAAUGCUCAUCUUUAUCAAUCAGAAGAUUUGCUCAUUGUCUCUGUCGCUACUUCACCAUGCCCCUGAAGCGCCGCGCAGUUUUGAAGCGUAGUCGAUCCUUUGGUGAAAUAUUACUAGUGCAGUCCACUAAUGUACAAUGAAAAUACUUUUGUUGAGAAUGAUAAGGUAUGUAUGGUAUAUGUGACAGUGCGAGAGUACACAGUGUGUGCGGAAUAGGGUGUGCAUAGUUAACAAAUGGUAUACAUCUUCCAGAAUGAACGAUACAAACGUUCAAAACGGUGAUAAUGAAAAGUCAUAUGUAGAAACAACUAGACAAGUAGACAGAAGUGCACUGUACUCGACCAACAUUCAACGGGAGUCCUUACAGCUAUAUGUCGAGCAAUGAAGUCUCGGUAGUCGGGUAUACCCAUCGAAAGUAGAGCUAGAACAGUUCUCACAUGUCACCUUCAAGAAUACGUAUCCUUGACGCAAACUUGACGACCGGUUACGACCAAAAAACUGUCGUACUGCCAAGAUCCAUUUGUGCUGGAGUCUAUGUCAACGGUAGUGAUUGAAACAAACGAGUCAAAAAUUAGAUUUUGUCUUCUUCUGUUACGGUACGAUCAUUUUUGGCGAGCGUGUAUUUGUAUUUGGUAUACCAGCUUUCGAACAUAUUUGCGGGAUAGUACGAGAACUUAGCAAGCUUAUCAUGAAGCUCCCAGAUAAUAGAGCUUCUUCGCUGCUGUUAUUCUAGUAAUAGUAUCACUAGUAGGAUCUGUUUCAUCGUUUGUGUAGCCCGCGUACCCUGAUUCUGGAAGAGUCGGUUUUGAAAACCUUCAGGAUCCUGAGCGCCAAUUGCCAUUCUGACAUUUCGUCUCUUUAAGUCUUCUUAAGGGCUGUAAGCAUGACCUGCCGCCAGAUCUGUGAUGUCAAUGGCUACUAGUAUCUAGAGUCAGAUACUUGUUAUUUCAGUGAACUUAAACAAGGUAAUUUAGUAUAGUCACUUUUACUCAAACAUUUAACGUCAUUCGAUGAAUAAAUAUAGGUAAUUAGUGACAUCCUAAAUAUAUAACAGUGGUCAGCCCGAACAAUAAAUAUGCUUUCCAUCCCUGCAUUUAAUGACUUCAAAGGCAACUACAGUUGCCCAAUCCUACGGCCGCACUAAUUGCGUUGUCUGAAGGGCUAGCAGCAUUAGUGACAGCCCCUUCGCCUUUUGUUCUUCCUAAGGACCUUAUUGUGUGGGCAUUCAAGUUAAGAGGUCGCAGAUUACAAGAAUAGUAAAUACAAGAAUAGGUUACAAGAAUAGUGAUAAUGCAAUAGAAUGUUGGCAACCUUCAUGACGACAUGUAAGUAAUAAACCUACACUGACUUGGCAAGCCUAGCUAAGUCGGACGUAUUUUGCCUUCAAUAGAUGUAGUUCUUAGAGACCCUUCUCAACAUUCCUAAAACGAACCCUAAUGCAGGAUACCAGCUUUCCCGUUAUAAACUUUUUUGAUCACACAUAUAGUGUAAAAUAUGUCAGUGGCAGAGUCGCUAAUAAAGUGAUUGUCUAACUUGUCAAACAUGAUUCACGCUGAGCUUAGUAAUGAGAGGCACACAUUUUUUUUUGUUGCAAACUAGCUAUAAUAUUUCUACUAAAGUUCACAGAUAUUGAGUCUUCAACCUACGCAAAAAAGGUAUAAAAGGUAAAGAUGCUAUUAGAAGUACAUAAUUUCACAAAAAUGCAAAUAAAAUAUCGCAGGCCGUUUCGAACAGAACCAUCUUCGUCACUCACAAUCAAUUGAAAAGAAAAACGUUUAAGGUGGAUGGAACUGUGCGGAUGCUCGUGGCACGUUCCGAAAGACCAAGAACAUCAAAAAGCUUUAAAAAGUAAGAAUCGGAAAAUGAUAGCGAAACAUCUCAGAAACCACUGGACACUCAAGCCGUGAGCUUAACAUCCGCAAAUUAGGUGUCUAUCGCAUUUUAAGAUACUGCAAAUAAAAAGAUUACAUUCGAUAAUGGUAUAUGAUGUCAAUGAAGAUGACCCAGACCGAAGAAAACAAUUUAGCGAGUGGUGUUUGAAAAAUGUAGGCAGGAUGCACAGUUUCUAAGGGCUAUUGUUUGGAAAAAUCAUUGUAAUUUAAGGACAUAAAAGAAUUUUCCAAACAGAUGGUGCAAACCAUGUGAUCUCACAGAAUACCUUGUGCCCCAUACCUAACGUCAGUAGUCUCUUUUCGUGGAGAUAUGUUGAACAUAAGAAUUUUGAAAGAAAAGCGAUGACACUGAACGAUUUAGGAGCCUCAACUUAGAAAAUACGCCACACAUCGAAUCAACUGUUCGUUAGAAUUUGUAAAUUAAUAGUUUAUCGUUAUCCCCAGUAUGUCAUGUAAAACAUUAAUAAUACUGAACAUUUAGUUACAAAGAAAAAAUAUCAUACAUAGAUCCUACUCAAAUUGACGCAAGAUAAUUUAUUUUAUCCAUAUUUUCAUCCACAAAAUACUACGGAAACCCAACGAAAUCGAGUCAAUAGGGUGCACAUAACAAAAAAAGUGCUCCACAGUCUCUAACAAAGCUUAGACUAAUGCGAAAAAGGUAAUGCUACGUAUUUGGUGCGGUUAAAAAAAUCGUGCAUUAUGAGUUACUGGCGAGACGAUCUAUUUGGACAAUACGGUCAAUAACUAACAAAUUUACAACAGGAUAUUAAAAAAAUGAACCGGAAUUAGUGAAAGAGCGUCAUCUUUUACCAUGACAAUGCCAGACCCCAUAUAUUUUUAGCUAUUCGGUAAAAAAAUUGAGAGAACUUAGAUGACAAGUUUUAUUGCAUUCGCCAUAGCCCGUGUCUUGCAUUAUACUAUUACCUAUUUCAGUCUCAGAAGAACUUUCUUAGUUGCGUUAAUAAAGGCAUGUAAAAAUCACUUCUUAUAUAUAUAAGCCCAGGAACCACAGAAGUUUCAUAGUGCUAGGAUUGCAGUGUUGCCUGAGCAAUGGCAAAAGGUCAUUGAUUAUAAAUCGCCUAACUAGUUUAGUAAUAUUUCUUUAAAAUGUAAAAAAUAUUUGUUUCAAUUUUGGCUUAAACACCCUGUCAGUAGUUUUUUCCGACAAUCCUAAUAUAUAUAUAUAUAUAUAUAUAUAUAUAUAUAUAUAUAUAUAUAGAGA